rnacentral:ncRNA from 1 species
AUAAAAGCUUUGAAAGAGAGAAAAAUAUCUGUUAAGCGGAUACAGAGAGCUGAUGGUUGGUGGAAAUCAGUGAUGCGGAGAUAUUAUAUGAUCACUCUUGAGCUUCCGAUUCGAAAGUAUGACGAGUAGAUGAGGACGUAUGCCUGCGUUACAGGGCUAGGGUUCAAAGAAAUGGAAAUGAAUUUCUUUCGACUUGAAGAGAGGCGGCUUUAAAAACCGCAAAUAGGGUGGUACCGCGAAAGACCUUUCGUCCCUAUA